ensembl:lncRNA
GGUGGGGGGGCGCAGGGCUGGACUCGUAUGCAGGGCUGCGCUGUUCUGCUCUGACUCACAGCCCCCAAAUAGUUCCUGGUGCUUUUCCAGCCCUGCAGACACCAACAGCUGCGUUUCUGUAUGAAACCCCAUGGGGUGACACCGAGCCAGAAGCGGGGGGGGCGGGGGGGGGCAGGACCCCCAGCUUUGUCACUGCUGAUGGGGCUGCAGCCGAGCUCUGGCAUCCCCACCUCCCUCCGGUCAUACUCAACCCCAGAGCCCCCCUAUUCUCCCAGCAGAGCUUUGCAGAUCCCCGCUGCCGGGAGGGGAACGUCCCCCAUUGCUUUCUGCAGCUCCCAGCACGGGGCUCCUACACAGUGCAGUCCCAGCGCUGCACCCCACCUCACUGCUGCCCCUCUCCCCCCUAUUGCACGUCCGCAUCCCUUCCGUUUGGCCUCCGAAGUUCCCCCCUCUGUCUCCCAAGCAGCGCUUCGUUGCAACCCCCAAAGCCUUUGCUGCGGCUCCCAGCAGUUCCUGCACCUCAGCCCGAGGUUGGAGCACGCAGAGGCUCACACAGAGGCGCACCCACCCCUUCCUCCCCCCCUCCCCGUUUCCCCAUUCCUGCAGCAGAAAGCAGAGGCCGAGCAAAAACCGCCCUCCGAUUAACACAGAGCGCAUUCACGGCGGCGCAUCCACCGGUGCAACGGGAUGGCGGCGGUGCAACGGGAAAGCGACGGGCGGCGAUGGGGGACGGCUCUGCAGAACUGCAGUGCAACGAUGGGAGCAGCGCCGGGUGCAGCCGCGGGGAGGGAAUUGCUCAGAACAUCAGUGGUUGGGAGGAAUGGAGGAGAGCACUGGUGAGUACUGUGAUGCUGUACCGUAGGCUGUGAACCUGUUCCUUCUUCCUUGGGUAAGCACUGCAGUGAACCUCGUUAUUUUGAGCCUCGUGCCUUUAAUUCGAGGCAGAUGAGUAGCAAAUGAGAUGGUUUGCAUCAGCUGCAGCUCUGCUGCACAAAUGGCGUGGGCUGGAGCCGAUGGAUCUCUUCUGAAAUCCCCCUUCCCUGCUAGCUGGAAUUGGUCUCUUGAAUAUCCCAAGCUCUUGGAAACAAGUCACAGUCCCUUUUGUAACAGGGAGGAGGCCAGGAGCAUUGAGCUGGUGUGUGAUAGGAGCAAGGCAAUGACAGGUUGGAAGGAGGAAUCGGCUCCUGGUAGCUCCUGAUGUUGCUGUAUUUAUUUCCCUGGGCUGCUCUGUCUUGCAGAAGAUGUGAAGUUUUCAAUUACAAUUUGGCUUUAAAGCUCUUGCUUUAGGCACUGCUUACCACUUGCCCUGAGGCGAGCAAGCUCCUUCCUUUCAGCUUUAACCAAUGCAAGAAUUUGGUUUCCUCUAAAACUAGCAGUUUUUUUGGCUCGGUGUUGUUGAACGAAUGUUCCGACCACGUGCCAAAAAGGGCUGUGAAAGGCACUGGUUUUUUCCAUUACCCUUUUUUCCAUCCCCGCUGAGAUGGGGCUUGCAUGGAGGGCAGCCCAUCCCCACAAGCAUCUUUGGACCACGCUGUCCUACCUUGUGCAGCUCUGUGACCACUAAUGUGACUUCCAGACUCUUCCUGUGCCAUCAGGUGAUGCCAUCCUUUGAGCUCGAGGAGCCACGUGUGACAGCAGCCUGGUGUGCUCGGGGUGCCAGGUCUUGCCUUCGUGCAAAGCUGCUUGGCUGGAACCCAGCGGCCUGCUUGGAGAAAGCCAAGUGCGCAUUCCUGAAGGCACAUCAGGCUUAUAAUCCUGGUGGCAAGCAUUGCUGCUGCGCCCUGUAAUUGUUGGCGUGCAAGGUGCCCAUUUAAUUGGCGGUGAUGUUUCCCCUGCGGUUUGCCUGUGGCAAACUGAUCCCAGAUGGAGCCUUCCUGGGGAGGUGGGAGCUGUGGCCGUGCAGAUGGCAGCUCCCUGCUCAGCCCUGGGGUGCAGGCAGCAGCAGGGCGAGUUGCUCCAUCCCUCCAGCCUUCACGGCGUGGCUUCGAGCAGCACUGCGGGCUCUGCUGGGGCUGCUGUGUUCGUGUCACAGAGCUUCACGUCCCUCCUUGCUCCGUGUGUUGGUGUGCUGGAGCCUGUCAGGCUGCCAGGAGCUCUGUUUGCUGAUGGGAGCAGUGCUGGGGCCUGGGAUGUGAAAGGCCUUACGUUCUGCUUGCAUCUCAUCAGCUGAAGUAGAACUGCUUCCCCUUCGGGAUGGAGAACCCGGGCUCAGUCUUUGCACGCUCAGAGCCCCCAGAGCUGACCGUGAAGCUUUGUGUCCUUAAUGCUGGGAGCUGAGAGCCCCAUACUCAAAGCAGAGUAAACAAAUGGGUCUCUUAUUGCUUUUUUUUUUUAAUUACUUUGCUUUUAAGGACGCUCAUUCUGCAGGUGCUGCUAAGCUCGGGACUCCGGGGUUGCUCCGGGCACUGGGGCUGGAGAUGAGGUAAGGCAGAGCUGCGUGCAGGAGCUGAAGCCCGUGCCCUUUGCUCCUGCAGAGCCUGGUGCUUUUUGAUGCUGUCCUUAACCUGGUUGUAUAUUAACUGCCCUCCCAAUGCUGCAUGGCUGGCUUUUGUUUUAACCACGUUGGCGCGUGUUCAGAGCUGGUGUGCUUCGAAUGGCCACUGGGACUGCACAGUCAAGCAGAAAUCCUUUUUAGCUGUCAGGCUUCGCUGGCCACAGUGGGUGGGGGAGCUCCUGUUGGCUGGAUGCCCUGGCUAAUUAAAAAUGAAGCGUGCUGUUGUCUUCAGACUUCAAUUCGUGUUUGCCCCCCCCCCAGGGCUGGUGGAAGCGUGGUCUCCAUGCGGCUGCAGGGAGGCUUCAAAGCUUGUUGGUGUACAUUCUAGAGCAGGUAUGCAGCUUCAAAUUGGCUCUCGACUCUACCCUGGGUUAUUUUUCCAAGUACAGAGAAGAGCAUGCAGGAACUUUUGGGCUGUGGCCCUGAGUGAGUGUCUGUAGGUGGCUACAGCUGGUCCGUGGUGAUGCGGACGUGCGUGUGUUGCAGCCACAGCAGCAUGGGAUGGCUGCUGUUCUCUGGGGUGAAUGGACCGAGUAAAGUUGGGUUAUUUAACAGCAGGCUGUGCUGUGUGAUGGCACUGUGAGCUGGCAGUGAUUCGGGGUCUGUGUGAAGUCAGGGCCCAGCCCUGAGCUGUGCUGUUGGUGUGAGGGUGGAGGUGGUGGGAGCAACACCUAAAUGUACACACGGUGCAGGGCUGAGCUUCCCUUCAUCCCAAGGUCCCACCUGCACAGCUGUCUGCUGAAGGGAAAUGGCACUGCAGCAUCUCACCCCGUUCACAUCUUCCUGUCGCUGCAGGGAGCUGCAGCAUCACGUUCUGCUUUCAGGGUGUUUGCACUGUGUUUGCUGCCCUCUCCCAGGGGCUGCUCCCCUCUCAGGGCGGCACAAACUGUAUUUCAGCCCUUUCCUUCGUGGAAGUGAUGCAGUGGUGCUGCAGUGCCCUAAUGAGGACAGAGGCCAAGAGCUCCAGAACAAGCAGCUUGCUGGUCCAGCACGCUCCGAGCCUUCCUCCAAGGAAGGCUUUGCUCUCCUUCAACCUUCAGUGCUCCGUUGAGGAGUUCUGCUGGUGGCACUGGGAUGACCCUUUGGGCAACUGCUGAGAGGGCUGGGAAAUGUGAGCAGCCUCUUGCACACGCUGUUCUAGAAUAACACUUGGAGUUUAUGGAUUCUUGAAGAAUAUUCUGCAGUUAUUUCUUUAUUCACGACCAGCUUUCAUCCCUUUCGCCUCCUGCUGUGCUACUUUUUUUUGCCAGUUCUUUUCCAACUAAAAAUAGGAAAUACUCCUCGAGUUCCUAAGCUCUGUGCAGACAAAGCAGCAGUUUGUUUCAGCAUCUGUGCAGGCUGCUGGGCUGCGUGCCUCGUAAGGAAACCAGCGUGAUAUGGAUCUGCUGCUUUUGGACACUGGGACUCCAAAUGGAGGCUGAGGAGAGGAAGGGGCUGGGAAUGGAAGUGCUGCUGUGCCAUCAGCAUUGCUCCUUGCUCCCAGCAGGAUGUGUGGCUGAACAAGUGAUGCCAGCAGAUGCUCCAGAGUUUGGGAAAUGAGUGCGUGAUCAUUGCAUGUGCAGAUGGAUUUGCAGGUCACCCCUGAUUCAAAGCACAGCCACCCUCCUCCUUUGGGUAAUGCCCUGCGGGGAAGGUUUGUCCUCCAGGAAGGCACGAGCCACAGUUCCCUCAUGAGAUGCAAUAUAUUAUGUAUACAGCAGUAUAACUGUUUUGUACAAUACAGUAGAGGAGCCAAAGUGGCCAAAGUGCCUGAGAUUAAACGUUUAAUUACAGCUGAAGUGUGCUGUGCUGCGAGAGAGGCCAAACCCGGCCGUGCCUGAGACGCCUUUACCGCAGGGCUGUGCUGAUCUCAUUUGGGACCAUUUGACUUUUAAACGAGGUGCAGCACAGAACACUGGCUAACCUGCCUGAAAGCACUGCUGUAAGUAGGUGAGUGCGCCUGGCAGGUUAGCAAAGCCCUUUGGGACACAAUCCUGAUGCUCUUUUGUUCUUCAGCCUGCAGUUCCCAGGGUGCGUGGGGCGGUUAAUGGGAUGCCUGCACUGCACUGCUCUGCAGGUGACCUUGGCACUGCAGCACCCCGUUCCGGGCUGUUGUAAAGCCGUGGGGUGCUCAGUUUGUGCAGCUUUCUCUGCCCGGAGGAGAGCAGAGCUCGUCGUGCUCUGGUGGCUGCAUUGUGGGUGUGUGGGAAUGGGAUACCUGGCACAAUGGGCUGGCAGGAGCCGGGUAGGGGCGGAGGCUGGCGCUGAGUGAGAGGUGUUGCACCUGCUGCAGUGCUCAGAUUGAGCUGAACAGUUUCCUUGUAUUGAGAGAUAAGGCCGUGUAGGACGUGUAAUCAAUCCGGGCCGACUCGCUGGGUAAGUAGGGCGCUGCUGGAGGGCCUCUCAGCUCAGCCCUGACGCUCACAUCGCCCUCUGCAGUGUUGUCUUCUGUCAUUUGCCACCUGAUUUCAGUAGUGGAUCUCAGUGAGGCUGGGAGAGGAGCCUGUCUGGAAGCAGAGGUAUGAGGGCUUGGUUUAAACGGAGCCAUCGCUGUUAGCGUUUUUUGGGUCACACAGCAGCAAUGCAAUGAAUGGCAAGCGCAGCCCUUGGGGUGGGAUGCUGUCACCGAUGCUGUUGCCCUCACAGAUGGGGUUAGCUGAACAGAGCUGCUCUUGGCACAGUGCUGGGAAGGAGCCUGGCUCUGUUUUCAUGCAGGUGUGGGGCUGAGCCAUCCGUGACGGGCAGAUGAUAACCACAGGUUAACGCGUGUGAGGAGAGCUUGGGAAAAGCAGCCCUCCAGCCUGGCUGUCCUUGCUGGCUUUUUAAAGGACUUGCCAGCUGGGUUACGGGGAUGUUUCGUUCCUCUGUGCGUUACAAGUGAUGAGUGCCGGAGCUCCGUUCUGCCUCCUGCAGAUGGCACCGCGCGGUGCCUCCCGGCUGAGCGCUGCAGUGCUGCGGCGCGGCCGCCAGGGGGCGAUGGUGAGUCGGCCGGCGGAGCUCCGGGUGGUAUUUGGGGGAAUAAUGGGGGAAAUAACGGGGGGAAAUGGGGCUGCGAGGAGCUGGGGGGGUCGGAGAUAAUAAAGGGAGGCUUUGGGGGAUGCAGCGUGUGCCUUCUUGUGAGGAGCACAGCGGCUGGCUCUGUCUGAGCGCUGCGCGUUGCAGGCGUUAAGUUGCAUUUCGCUUUGGGGAGGGAUGGAAAAUCGCUCCAAGUAGUUAACUGAAGAUGCCGAUAUUAAUGAAAGGCUUUCAAAGCUGGGGCUGUUUGGGGGGGCGGGAGGGGUGAGAAUCCCCUGUUGAGUUGAUGGCAGCGGGGCCUAAGGAGUGAUGCUGCAAUUAUUAGGCUGAAAUGAUGUUGAACACGAAGCUAAUCCCGUUAUCUUGCAAAUAUGGAGGAAACUGCUUGCUCCGGAUAGCUCUGUAAUGGGAUUAUUGCAGUGAGUGGCACCCCUGACAUUCCCUGUCUGCUCGGGGUGAAGCAUUGAUCAGCACUGAUCAACCUUCCCAUGGGUGCUUUGCUGGGAGGGGGGCGCUGCUUUUCAGUGGUGCUGCAGUAUUUCUUAUGGAGGAAAGAGCAGCUUUGAUGCUGAGCAUCCCCUCCCCUUGAGAAGCCAUUCCCUCCUCCGCAGCAGAGAUCCCUCCCUAAGGAAGAGACCUGAAGGACAAGGAUGAAACGAGGCAUCCCUCCAUCGUGCCUUCCUGGCACUGAGUCCCCAACCCAUCGGGUCACAGUGUGAGAAGGACGCACUGCACUGAGUCCUGAGGAGCCCCGAGGAUGCUCUGAGGAUGGGAGCCCUCUGCUACGAGGAAGGGCUGCAGGAGCUGGGGGUGUUCUGAGCACCAAUUGCUGUUGGGUCUUCAGAAGGAUUGUCCUGGGGGUCCCUAAGCCAUCUGUGUGCUACACUGCUGUGUCAGCAGUGCAGGAGAGCACAAGAGCCAAGGUGAUCCGGCAGCGAGGAGAGGAAGGCCCUAAUGAGUAAGCCUGCCUGGCUUGGCUGUGAGCUUGCUAGCUCACAUACCUGGAAUAGCAGCACGCUGUAACUCUUAGGCUGCACGAGUUGAGAAGGUGAGCAAAUAUUUGCAGAGCUCGCCCUCGCAGGGCUCAUGGCUCAAGCUGCAGAUGGAGCUGGCUGUACCAAAGGCGGUCCCAUUGCCACAGGGUUUGCCACAGCCCUGUUUGCGUUUAUCCAUGUGUCCCACCAGCAUUGCAGCUGUGCAGAGCAGGGGUGCUGUUUGCUGGUCUCAGAUUGGGAUUUUUGGCUGCUGUUUUGGGAUCGUGCCCCUUGUUGCCAGGCAGGGUGGCUGUGAUGGUCCCCCCAAACAGCAUCAGGGUGGAGGAAUUGGUGUGGGAGCAGUGUGAGGGGUCCUGCUUGCAGUGGGGCAACAAACUCAAGGAGAGAGCUUGCUGCAAGGUGAUGACGAGCCGUGCCUCCCAGGCUGUUGGUAUUAUCUAAUUCUGGGCUGUUUCCUUUAAUUAUAUGAAACGUCCUUGACACUGUAAACAAUUGCCAUGGCAUUGUCUCUGCAGCACCGUGAGUCAAAGAUGACGCAUGACCAGCGUUGGGUUUGGGGACCAGAGCUGGGCUGCGUGUGCCACACUCACAGCUGCUCCAUGCUGCCAGCCCUGCCUUGUGCUGGCACAAAGCAGAGGCUGUGGGGCUGUGCUGCUGGGGGCACACAGAGCUCCCAUCCAGCUUCACCUCUGGGGCAUUUCACUGCCCUUUCCAAAGCAAGCAGGUUCAAAAGGGACGAGGAAGGGAUGAUCUGCAGCCCCAAAGCACGCUGCAGUCUGCUGGCACAAAAGCAUUUGCUCGGCACGUUUCAGACUUCAGCCUUGCUGCUGUGUGCUGACAUCUCGGGUGCUGCACGAGAGCAAUGUGUGGGGCUGGGGUUGGGGGUUUCGCUGUCCUGCUGGGUGCUGGCAGGGUGGGACUGCUGUGGAUGUGCAGCC